CAAGGAAUAGUUUAAGGUUAGAAUAUCAGCUUUGGGUGUUGAUGGUGGGGCGGAUGCUUCUUCCUUGA
rnacentral:tRNA from 1 species